UACGGAGGGUGCAAGCGUUAUCCGGAAUGAUUGGGCGUAAAGCGUCCGCAGGUGGCUGUGUAAGUCUGCUGUUAAAGAGUCUAGCUCAACUAGAUAAGAGCAGUGGAAACUACACGGCUAGAGUACGUUCGGGGCAGAGGGAAUUCCUGGUGUAGCGGUGAAAUGCGUAGAGAUCGGGAAGAACACCGGUGGCGAAGGCGCUCUGCUAGGCCGUAACUGACACUGAGGGACGAAAGCUAGGGGAGCGAAUGGG
rnacentral:rRNA from 1 species